rnacentral:rRNA from 1 species
GCAAGUCGAGCGAGACAAGUUUUAAGUUUACUUGAAACUUUGAAAGCGGCGGACGAGCGAGUAACACGUAAGAACCUGCCCUGUACUCAGGGAUAACUCGGUGAAAGCCGAGCUAAUACCGGAUGGUCUCGAAAGAGUAAAGAUUUAUCGGUACGGGAGGGGCUUGCGGACUAUCAGCUAGUUGGUGGGGUAAUAGCCCACCAAGGCUAUGACGGAUAGCUGGUGUGAGAGCAUGACC